rnacentral:tRNA from 8 species
GCCGAAGUGGUGGAAUUGGUAGACACGCAAGAUUCAGGUUCUUGUGCGGGCAACCGUGUGCUGGUUCGAGUCCAGUCUUCGGCACCA